AGUCGUUUAACUCCAUCGAAUUCUUAGUGGCAAGUUUUUGAAAUUUUCAUGGAUCCUUGCCAUGAUCCAUGAAAAUUUCUUCCAAAGCAGCAAUGUUGUGUUACAUUUAAUAUUGUUCAUCAUUAUUCUGAUACGAUAUUUGAGCGAAAUUGCAAACAUUACAUUUUUUACCCAUUCCCCUCAUAUAGAAACUGAAAAAGCGCAGAUAAAUUUCUCUGAGUGUUAAGAACACUGAAAUGAAGCAAAGGCAAAGAAAGCCGCUGUAAUUUUGAGUUGGCAUCGCUCGGCGUGCAGUCGAUAAAGGAGCAUAGCAAAAAGCAAAAUUUGACGUGUUGGCAGCAUUGAUCUGUCAGGUCAGUUUCCGUGAAAAGCGAGAAAGAAAAGGAGCUUGCAAAAAAGGUGCCAUCGGUCGGAAAGACGCUCGUCGGUCGGAACGAAUUUCCGAGCGUGGGAUUGCUUAACCGACAGGCUCGCUCCGCCGAUUGGUAACCAAAAAACAAACUACCGCGAAGCGGGAAAUUUUGGUUGAUAGGCAACAACCGGGACCGGAAAAGGCCAAGUGACCGCUUUCGGGUGAAAAAACACCCUGCGAUCGCGCAAAAAUUUUGUCGGUGACCCACCACGAGGCGCUCGGAAACUCAAAACCGGGAAC